GGAGGCUUCACAGGAGACACAGCUGCCCUGAGAGUCCCAGCCUGCUUAGCAACUACCUUAAAGGAGCAGAAGGGCUCCCAGAACACGCAGGGAGUGGUUUCCUGGGGCUGCAAGCCAGGAGUCCGUCUUCCCAGAACAAAUAUGAGAUAAGUAAGUGAAGCCUCUUCUAUGCAUUAGGCACUGGAGAAACAGCAGAGAAGAACAGGCCCCACCCCUUGAGGGCUUACAAACCAGACAGCUGAAAUAUAAGUCUCUAAAAAGGACGGUCCUUAUGGAAAUUGUUCACCAUUCUGUCUCCAGAACCCAGAACAAGGCCUGGUGCAUGGGCCCGAGUUACUUGGAGGAGAGGCAGAUGGCUGUGGGCUAAUUCCUGAAGUGCACUUCUGGGGACCAUCAUCCUGGUUCCCAGGCUGACAUUCCACACGGGCUACAGGUCUCCUCUGAAAAUCAUUAAUUCUUCCCAAGGAAUAGUGGACAGCAGGUUAGGCACACUGGAAAAAGGCGGUUGGAUCCUUCAUGCUGAGAAGCCUGGAUUGACAGUGAGCAAGAGGAGGGUCUAAUGACUGAACAAUCAAAGGGAUGUCUGCACCGGAGUAUCUGCCUGCAAGGCAGUCCCAGCAGUUGGCUCUUGGGGACCUGGCUGGGGAGCCUCGAGCUGUCCCAGGAUGUGUUGCCAGAGAGGAGCAGGGCGAUGGGAACGGGGCCUGAGAGCAGAAGUCACCCAGCCUGGGGGCCACUCCAUGCGGAGCAUCCCACAUCGCCUUGGCUUCCAAAUGGGACUGGCUUUUAUUUCCAGAAGUGUUGGAGGUGGUGGAGAAAGGCUGGUCCCUGCUGUACUUCUGAGGGCAAGCUGCGUGACGCUGGAGGCAGGCACGCCGUGCCCUUCCCCCUCACUGCUGCCUUCAGGCCACUGACCUGUGACCCCUGUCCAAGAGGCUUUUUCCUCCUGAAGCAGUAUCAGUUUGUCACUCCAUCCUCUUCUCAUCCUCAGGGCUCUCGUGUAGGGACCUCCGUGUUUUCGUAUUCCCCUAGGACAAGGACUCUAGUCCCAACUGCUAGGCUCUUCCUGGACUCCACCUCCUGCUGUCAUUCCAAGUGACCUUGGUCCCCACUGUGAUGGGCUUACCUCCUCCUCUCUGACCUGCCUGCUCCUCUCCAGUUCAGCCGUACCCUGGAUGCCUCAAAAUUGCUCCAUCUCUGAAAUAAUAAACUGGGACACGCCCUUUCUGAACACCACUGCCGUUAUUCCACCUCGUUCACCGCCGUCACUCCCAG